AGAGAUUUUCCGGUUGAUCCUGCCGGAGGUCACUGCUAUCAGUAUUCGAUUAAGCCAUGCGAGUCAAAUGUUUUUCGUAAACAUGGCGUACUGCUCAGUAACACGUGGAUAAUCUGCCCUAAGGUCAGGCAUAACUCCGGGAAACUGGUGAUAAUUCCUGAUAUACCAUAGAUACUGGAAUGUUCUGUGGUCAAAGGCUCCGGCGCCUUAGGAUGAAUCUGCGGCCUAUCAGGUUGUAGUGGGUGUAGUGUACCUACUAGCCGACGACGGGUACGGGUUGUGAGAGCAAGAGCCCGGAGAUGGAUUCUGAGACAUGAAUCCAGGCCCUACGGGGCGCAGCAGGCGCGAAAACUUUACAAUGCGGGAAACCGCGAUAAGGGGAUACUGAGUGCCAGCAUCUUAUGUUGGCUGUCCGCAUGUAUAAAUAGCGUGUGUUAGCAAGGGCCGGGCAAGACCGGUGCCAGCCGCCGCGGUAACACCGGCGGCCCGAGUGGUGGCCACUAUUAUUGGGUCUAAAGGGUCCGUAGCCGGUUCGAUCAGUCUUCCGGGAAAUCUGACAGCUCAACUGUUAGGCUUCCGGGGGAUACUGUCGGACUUGGGACCGGGAGAGGUAAGAGGUACUACAGGGGUAGGAGUGAAAUCUUGUAAUCCUUGUGGGACCACCAGUGGCGAAGGCGUCUUACCAGAACGGGGCCGACGGUGAGGGACGAAAGCUGGGGGCACGAACCGGAUUAGAUACCCGGGUAGUCCCAGCCGUAAACGAUGCUCGCUAGGUGUCUGGGACGGUGCGACCGUUUCAGGUGCCGCAGGGAAGCCGUGAAGCGAGCCACCUGGGAAGUACGGCCGCAAGGCUGAAACUUAAAGGAAUUGGCGG
rnacentral:rRNA from 1 species